rnacentral:rRNA from 1 species
UACGUAGGGUGCAAGCGUUGUCCGGAAUUAUUGGGCGUAAAGAGCUCGUAGGCGGUUUGUCGCGUCUGCUGUGAAAACCCGAGGCUCAACCUCCAGCCUGCAGUGGGUACGGGCAGACUAGAGUGCGGUAGGGGAGAUUGGAAUUCCUGGUGUAGCGGUGGAAUGCGCAGAUAUCAGGAGGAACACCGGUGGCGAAGGCGGGUCUCUGGACGACUCCUGACACUGAGGCACGAAAGCCAGGGGAGCAAACAGG